UACAGAGGGUGCGAGCGUUAAUCGGAAUUACUGGGCGUAAAGCGCGCGUAGGCGGCUUUGCAAGUCGGGUGUGAAAUCCCCAGGCUCAACCUGGGAACUGCGUUUGAUACGGAUGGGCUAGAGUUCGGGAGAGGAGAGUGGAAUUCCCAGUGUAGAGGUGAAAUGCGCAGAUAUCAGGAGGAACACCGGUGGCGAAGGCGGGUCUCUGGGCCGAUACUGACGCUGAGGAGCGAAAGCGUGGGGGAGCGAACAGG
rnacentral:rRNA from 1 species